rnacentral:rRNA from 1 species
CUACGGGGCGCUCCAGGCGCGAAACCUUUACAAUGCACGAAAGUGUGAUAAGGGAAUCCUGAGUGCUACAGUGUACGCUGUGGCUUUUGCCAAGAGUAAAUAUCUUGGAGAAUAAGUGGUGGGUAAGACUGGUGCCAGCCGCCGCGGUAACACCAGCGCCACAAGUGGGGAUCGGUUUUAUUGGGCCUAAAGCGUCCGUAGCAGGUUUGAUCAGUCCUCUGUGAAAUUGACCAACUUAAUUGGUCAGCGUGCAAGGGAUACUGUCAGACUAGGGACCGGAAGGAGUAUGCGGUAUUGUCGGGGGAGCGGUAAAAUGUUAUAAUCCCGAUAGGACCACCGAUGGCGAAGGCAGCAUACUAGGACGGAUCCGACUGUGAGGGACGAAAGCCAGGGGAGCGAACCGGAUUAGAUACCCUGUAGUC